UAUGUUAAUCAAUCUUUUUAUUCUUGUUUGUAGAGAUGCAAAAUGUUAUUCUCAACGAGCUUGCAGAAAUAAAAGUUCUUUUAAAAGAAGUUAUAGAAAUAUGUUUCAGGCUAUUGGGGUGAAGUUGCUAGAAUCAGUGGACGAAGUGGUUACACUGGAUAAUAAACUAAAAGAUAAAACCGAGUAUACUAAUUUGCUUGAUAGUUUGAAAAAGAUGGGUGGUGGAAAGCCAAGAGAACAUGUUUUUUUGAUCAUGAAAAGGUAAAUGAUUAUGUUUUUAUUAAUUAUUAGAAAUAUGAUUAAAAGGGACCAAAAGCAAUUCAUUUUGACCGUUAUUUGUUAUGGAUUUACUUUUAACAUGACAAUUUGAUAAACUCGGGAGCUUCACUGUAGGUGUUUAAGUUUGUUUGUGUGCUAAAGUUAUUUUCGAAUCAGUUACAGUCCAAAUUUAAUCGAAAAGGAAAUGGGGAAAAGAUAAGCUUAGAAAAUAUAGUAAAUAUAUGAAGUGUUUUACAAGAUAUCGGCGACGUGGAAGAAAAUGUUGACGGCAAUGCAGAAAUAUAGUUUCUUAUGUAUAUUUUUGUGAAAUAAAAAUUAAGUAAUGUUAGUUAAAA